UUCUAGAGCUUUCUGAGGGCCUCUGUGUCACUCUUCCGGAGUCCGCUACCGCCGCGCGUCGUCGCGGAGGUCGGAGACAAGGGCUUGAAGUGCUGGGUAGGGCGGCCUCGGAGACGCCACAGCCAUCCUGCGUGACUGCGAAGGCAAUGGGGACUGGCGCGGGCCUUCGCCCACUGGUGGUCAACAAACAUUUGUUGAGCCCCUGUGCCCUAGGGUGUGCCAGGCACUCUGGGCACGGAGAUGGAAGCCACAGCCCUUCCUUAAGGAACUCAAGUCUGGUAGAGAAGAUGAACCACACACAGACCUGGGUCCAGCCAAUCAGAAGAGUUUGUCGUCCUUCCCUGCUGGGCAGGUACCAGGGUUUGGCCGGAUGGAGUGAAUGGUGGAGGAGGUAGGUGGUGCACCUGCCAGGAGGGCAGCCUGCCUGCAUA